rnacentral:rRNA from 1 species
CCUACGGGCGGCAGCAGUGGGGAAUAUUGGGCAAUGGGCGCAAGCCUGACCCAGCAACGCCGCGUGAAGGAAGAAGGCUUUCGGGUUGUAAACUUCUUUUGACAGGGAAGAGCAGAAGACGGUACCUGUCGAAUAAGCCACGGCUAACUACGUGCCAGCAGCCGCGGUAAUACGUAGGUGGCAAGCGUUGUCCGGAUUUACUGGGUGUAAAGGGCGUGUAGCCGGGCUGAGAAGACAGAUGUGAAACCCGGGGGCUAAACCCCCGAACUGCAUUUGAAACUGUUGGUCUUGUGUAUCGGAGAGGCAGGAGGAAUGCGUGGUGUAGCGGUGAAAUGCGUAGAUAUUA